rnacentral:rRNA from 1 species
CUCGUAGGCGGUUCGUCGCGUCCGGUGUGAAAGUCCAUCGCUUAACGGUGGAUCCGCGCCGGGUACGGGCGGGCUGGAGUAUGCGAUGGGCAAUUGGAACACCAGGUGUAGCGGUGGAAUGCGUGGAUAUCUGGUGGAACACCGAUGGCGAAAGCGAAUUGCUGGCGCAUCACUGACCCUCAUGGACGAAAGCGUGGUAGCAAACA